rnacentral:rRNA from 1 species
CCUACGGGAGGCAGCAGUGGGGAAUAUUGCUCAAUGGCGGAAACCCUGAUGCAGCGACGCCGCGUGAGCGACGAAGUAGUUCGGUAUGUAAAGCUUUUUUAGCAGGGAAGAAGAUGACGGUACCUGAGUAAGAAGCCCCGGCUAACUACGUGCCAGCAGCCGCAGGAAUACGUAGGGGGCAAGCGUUAUCCGGAUUGACUGGGUGUAAAGGGAGCGUAGGCGGCGAUGCAAGCCAGUUGGGAAAGCCCUGGGCUCAACCCCGGGACUGCAUUUGGAACUGUGUGGCUGGAGUGUCGGAGAGGUAGGCGGAAUGCCUAGUGUAGCGGUGAUAUGCGUAGAUAUUGGGAGGAAC